GAGUUUGACCAUGGCUCAGGAUGAACGCUAGCGGCAGGCUUAAUACAUGCAAGUCGAGGGGCAGCAUGGUGUAGCAAUACACUGAUGGCGACCGGCAAACGGGUGCGGAACACGUACAGAACCUUCCUUCGAGCGGGGAAUAGCCCAGAGAAAUUUGGAUUAAUACCCCAUAGUAUUAUGGAGUGGCAUCACUUUGUAAUUAAAGAUUUAUCACUUGAAGAUGGCUGUGCGGCUGAUUAGGUAGUUGGCGGGGUAACGGCCCACCAAGCCUGCGAUCAGUAACUGGUGUGAGAGCACGACCAGUCACACGGGCACUGAGACACGGGCCCGACUCCUACGGGAGGCAGCAGUAAGGAAUAUUGGUCAAUGGACGAAAGUCUGAACCAGCCAUGCCGCGUGGAGGAUGAAGGUCCUCUGGAUUGUAAACUUCUUUAUAUGGGACGAAAAAGGCCUUUCUAGGUCGUCUGACGGUACCAUAUGAAUAAGCACCGGCUAACUCCGUG
rnacentral:rRNA from 1 species